UACGUAGGGGCGCAAGCGUUGUCCGGAAUUAUUGGGCGUAAAGAGCUCGUAGGUGGCGUGUCGCGUCUGCCGUGAAAGCCCAUGGCUUAACUGUGGGUCUGCGGUGGAUACGGGCAGGCUGGAGGCUGGUAGGGGCAAGCGGAAUUCCUGGUGUAGCGGUGAAAUGCGCAGAUAUCAGGAGGAACACCGGUGGCGAAGGCGGCUUGCUGGGCCAGUUCUGACGCUGAGGAGCGAAAGCGUGGGGAGCGAACAGGGA
rnacentral:rRNA from 1 species